GACGAACGCUGGCGGCGUGCUUAACACAUGCAAGUCGAACGGAAAGGCCCUGCUUUUGUGGGGUGCUCGAGUGGCGAACGGGUGAGUAACACGUGAGUAACCUGCCCUUGACUUUGGGAUAACUUCAGGAAACUGGGGCUAAUACCGGAUAGGAGCUCCUGCUGCAUGGUGGGGGUUGGAAAGUUUCGGCGGUUGGGGAUGGACUCGCGGCUUAUCAGCUUGUUGGUGGGGUAGUGGCUUACCAAGGCUUUGACGGGUAGCCGGCCUGAGAGGGUGACCGGCCACAUUGGGACUGAGAUACGGCCCAGACUCCUACGGGCGGCAGCAGUGGGGAAUAUUGCACAAUGGGAGGAAGCCUGAUGCAGCAACGCCGCGUGCGGGAUGACGGCCUUCGGGUUGUAAACCGCUUUCGCCUGUGACGAAGCGUGAGUGACGGUAAUGGGUAAAGAAGCACCGGCUAACUACGUG
rnacentral:rRNA from 1 species